rnacentral:rRNA from 1 species
GACGAACGCUGGCGGCGUGCUUAACACAUGCAAGUCGAACGGUGAAGGGACUGGUUUUGCUGGUCCUGGAUGAGUGGCGAACGGGUGAGUAACACGUGAGUAACCUGCCCCCUUCUUCUGGAUAACCGCAUGAAAGUGUGGCUAAUACGGGAUAUUCUGGGUCUGUCGCAUGGUGGGCCUGGGAAAGAUUGCGCCUUUUUUGGUGUUUUUGGUGGGGGAUGGGCUCGCGGCCUAUCAGCUUGUUGGUGGGGUGAUGGCCUACCAAGGCGGUGACGGGUAGCCGGCCUGAGAGGGUGGACGGUCACACUGGGACUGAGACACGGCCCAGACUCCUACGGGAGGCAGCAGUGGGGAAUAGUGCACAAUGGGCGCAAGCCUGAUGCAGCGACGCCGCGUGAGGGAGGGAGGCCUUCGGGUUGUGAACCUCUUUCGCCAGUGAAGCAGGCCUGCCUCUUUGUGUGGGUGGGUUGACGGUAGCUGGAGAAGAAGCGCCGGCUAACUACGUG